UAAUAUUAGUGCUAUAUUUAUUUUAAUUUGGUCACAUGAAUAAUUAUGCUAUGACAUUUCAUUAAUUGUGACUAGUUUUCCAUGAUUUAAUUUGUGUGGCUUAACACAUGGUUUAUUUUCCACCACACAAUACUACACUCUCACUUGAUUAUUAUAAUCAAUUAGACAUGUGUGUUUUAAUCAAGUGGCUUAGUGAAUAAGCUUGAGCAUUUACUUGUUGGCUAAGUUUGGAAGCAAGUGGAGGAUUUUAAACAAAACACUUUCUCUUUCUUCUCACUUCCUCCCUAACUCACGGCCUCACCCUUUUCUCUCUCUAAUCUUCCUUUCCUCCAUUAAUCCUCCAUGAUCGAAGAACACCAAGCUUUUUAGAUCAUCUCUACACCAUAGAUCUCCAUCAAAUUCAAGCUUUAAACAUCUAUAGCCUUGAAUCAAGAGCAUACUUGAAGGAGUUUCAAGAUUUGAGCCAAAGGAGAUUUUUGUUUAUUUCCAAAUCCUUGAGUCCGGGCGACAGGAAGUGAAGCCGAAGAAGAAGCGACUCCACGCUAGCUUAAGAACGUUUGAGGAAAUCCAAUUGGGAUCCUAUGCUAGACAAAGGUCGCUAGCUAGGGUUAACGUGUACACUCAUGGAGACCGCGAGUCGCUUGCGACCGGUCUUGGCGUCCGUGGUAAGGAGGCCUCCUUCCCGGCGCGUGACAGAAAGGAACAGAUAUGGAUCAUAUGAAGGAAAAUGGGUCGGCCGGCCAAUCUUAUGAAAAUGAAAGAAAUGUUUUAGUAAGCGCAGGACUUUCAAGAAAACCCCUGUGUGUUACUGUUAUGGCAGUUCAAUUUAUAUAUGUAUGCAUGUUUGUUUUUCGGCUUAUGCCACUGAGUAUUUUUAUACUCAGCCCUGCAUGUAUUU